CCAAGAAGCAUGGCUGCUCCAGCAUUAGCCAUGUGUCAUGGUGGUCCUUGGUAUCUUGCCUUGAAGAUGAGCUACAGUGACAGGUCCUUAAUUGAUGUGCAGUUUCCACUUGCUUUUUUAUGUUACUAUUUUGGGCCAAUUAUAUUUUUUAAAAAAGGCACUUCUUUUUUCUUUUACUUGGUUCAUCAAAAACAGGAAGUCAAAGUGUAUAUAUCCACACGAAACAGACACAGAGCCCAAAGAAGACGGGGAGCAGAUGUGAAAUGCUCUGAACUGGUUACAGGACAUGAUGGCCCUUCAAUAUCCAAUCAGAAGAAAGAGGGAAGAAUGGGUCUCGGGUUUCCAUGGUUCACAUAAAGUGUCUUCUUGCUUGGUGAGCCGGGGAGGAGGAGCUCUGUUUUGUUGGCUGACUGCCUGCUGUUCCAGUAACUGUGUUAGAGGCGUGGCUGCAACAGCCUAGGACCAAGACUUGAAGAUUGGGUUCUGGCCUUGACCUAUGGUGAGGGUCACAAUAGACUUUAUCAUUCAAACCAGGACACUUUUGAGAACCCAAGGAGGCCCUUUAGUAGUUCCUAUGGGACAACAUGUGGAAACGGGACUGUCUUGGGCAAAGUGGUACAUACAGUCCCCCCACGUCGAUCUUGGGUAAGUCACUGAAGCUCUGUGAGCUUCAGUUUCAUCAGUUCUUAAAACAACAAAAAAUACCUGUCCUAUCUCACAGGGUGUGAGGCUCAAAUGAGAUAAU
rnacentral:lncRNA from 1 species